UCCUACUGGAGGCAGCAGUAGGGAUUCCUACGGGAGGCAGCAGUGGGGAAUAUUGCGCAAUGGGGGAAACCCUGACGCAGCAACGCCGCGUGGGUGAUGAAGGUUUUCGGAUCGUAAAACCCUGUUUUAUGGGACGAUAA
rnacentral:rRNA from 1 species